rnacentral:rRNA from 1 species
UACGUAGGGGGCAAGCGUUGUCCGGAUUUAUUGGGCGUAAAGAGCGUGUAGGCGGCCAUACAGGUCCGUUGUGAAAACUGGAGGCUUAACCUCCAGACGUCGAUGGAAACCGUAUGGCUAGAGUCCGGAAGAGGAGAGUGGAAUUCCUGGUGUAGCGGUGAAAUGCGCAGAUAUCAGGAAGAACACCCGUGGCGAAGGCGGCUCUCUGGGCAGUAACUGACGCUGAGGAGCGAAAGCGUGGGGAGCGAACAGG